rnacentral:rRNA from 1 species
UACGGAGGGUGCAAGCGUUAUCCGGAUUCACUGGGUUUAAAGGGUGCGUAGGCGGGCAGGUAAGUCCGUGGUGAAAUCUCUGAGCUUAACUCAGAAACUGCCGUGGAUACUAUUUGCCUUGAAUAUUGUGGAGGUGAGCGGAAUAUGUCAUGUAGCGGUGAAAUGCGCAGAUAUCAGGAGGAACACCGGUGGCGAAGGCGGGUCUCUGGGCUGACACUGACGCUCAUGCACGAAAGCGUGGGGAGCAAACAGG